AAAGUCUUUUACACUUACGAGAAUCAAAGAUGGUAUCCUGUAGAUGGAUAUGGAGUAAGACGACUUCCAACUGACCGCUAUGAAUGGAGCGAUGAAACUGGAAUACUAGAACGUCGUCAAGAGGGCUAUCCGCUACCUAACUCAGACUGGCAAUGGAGUGGGAAUACAGCUGCGAAAAACAUUGGAAUGAUUGCGUGAGAAGACGUCGAUGGCAAAGGUAGCGAAUUGAAUACUUAUUUACUUGAAUGGUUGGUAGGGAAGGGGGACUGGAAGGA